AGUGGGGAAUUUUGGACAAUGGGCGCAAGCCUGAUCCAGCAAUGCCGCGUGAGUGAAGAAGGCCUUCGGGUUGUAAAGCUCUUUUGUCAGGGAAGAAACGGCGCCGGCUAAUAUCCGGCGCUAAUGACGGUACCUGAAGAAUAAGCACCGGCUAACUACGUGCCAGCAGCCGCGGUAAUACGUAGGGUGCAAGCGUUAAUCGGAAUUACUGGGCGUAAAGCGUGCGCAGGCGGUUUUGUAAGUCUGUCGUGAAAUCCCCGGGCUUAACCUGGGAAUUGCGAUGGAGACUGCAAGGCUAGAAUCUGGCAGAGGGGGGUAGAAUUCCACGUGUAGCAGUGAAAUGCGUAGAGAUGUGGAGGAACACCGAUGGCGAAGGCAGCCCCCUGGGUCAAGAUUGACGCUCAUGCACGAAAGCGUGGGGAGCAAA
rnacentral:rRNA from 1 species